GACAGAGGGUGCAAACGUUGCUCGGAAUUACUGGGCGUAAAGGGCUCGUAGGUGGCCAACUAAGUCAGACGUGAAAUCCCUCGGCUUAACCGGGGAACUGCGUCUGAUACUGGAUGGCUUGAGUGUGGGAGAGGGAUGCGGAAUUCCAGGUGUAGCGGUGAAAUGCGUAGAUAUCGAGAGGAACACCUGAGGUGAAGACGGGUUGCUGGGCUGACACUGACGCUGAUGCGCGAAAGCCAGGGUAGCAAACGGG
rnacentral:rRNA from 1 species